CUAAGGAAGGCCUUUGUCUUAAACCCUUACAAAAGGCUUUCCGCCUGGUUUGCAUCGCUAGGUCGACUUCCCUUCCGACAUGAUGCCUGCCCGGCCUGAGAGAGCCGUCAUGAUCUCUCCACGACUUCUCACCCUGACAUGGACUUUGGACCUCGCCAUUUUGUGGCCAUGAGGCUGGAAAGCACAUGCUAAGAGGACAGAGAGUGAGGACAGGAGGCCGGGGCCUGAAGGACAUCUCUGAGCUGCCGUGCCAGCCCUGGACUGCCCCUUUCUGGAUUCAUUUUGUGUGAGAGGAAAAUAAACCCUUAUUUUGUUGAA